UUUCUUUGUGAUUGGUAGUGAAAAUUAUGAUUCGUUCAUCCCCACAGCUUCACCAUAGUCCAUCUACGAUGUUUAGCAAUCCUGGUAGUGUCACCUGAACCUGAUUCAAUAUUAACAUAAUCAUGAAAUGAGAUUCACAUCUAUGAGAUUUGCCAAACCCAUCAAAACAUCAAAUUUAAUUGCACCAGAUGAAGGAAAAAGCUAAUGCG
rnacentral:misc_RNA from 1 species